GGGGCUGAUUCUGGAUUCGACGGGAUUUGCGAAACCCAAGGUGCAUGCCGAGGGGCGGUUGGCCUCGUAAAAAGCCGCAAAAAAUAGUCGCAAACGACGAAAACUACGCUUUAGCAGCUUAAUAACCUGCUCUGAGCCCUCUCUCCCUAGCUUCCGCUCUUAAGACGGGGAUCAAAGAGAGGUCAAACCCAAAAGAGAUCGCGUGGAUGCCCUGCCUGGGGUUGAAGCGUUAAAUCUAAUCAGGCUAGUUUGUUAGUGGCGUGUCUGUCCGCAGCUGGCAAGCG
rnacentral:tmRNA from 1 species